CACGUAGGGGGCGAGCGUUGUCCGGAUUUAUUGGGCGUAAAGAGCUCGUAGGCGGCUCAGUAAGUCGGGUGUGAAAGCUCUGGGCUCAACUCAGAGACGCCAUCCGAUACUGCUGUGGCUAGAGUCCGGUAGGGGAGCGCGGAAUUCCUGGUGUAGCGGUGAAAUGCGCAGAUAUCAGGAGGAACACCGGUGGCGAAGGCGGGUCUCUGGGCCGAUACUGACGCUGAGGAGCGAAAGCGUGGGGAGCAAACAGG
rnacentral:rRNA from 1 species